AUUGAACGCUGGCGGCAGGCCUAACACAUGCAAGUCGAACGAGUGGCGGACGGGUGAGUAAUGUCUGGGAACCUGCCUGAUGGAGGGGGAUAACUACUGGAAACGGUAGCUAAUACCGCAUACCAUCAGAUGUGCCCAGAGUGGAUUAGCUUGUUGGUGGGGUAACGGCUCACCAAGGCGACGAUCCAUAGCUGGUUUGAGAGGAUGACCAGCCAAACGGGAACUGAGACACGGUCCAGACGCCUACGGGAGGCAGCAGUGGGGAAUAUUGCACAAUGGGCGAAAGCCUGAUGCAGCCAUGCCGCGUGUAUGAAGAAGGCCUUCGGGUUGUAAAGUACUUUCAGCGGGGAGGCGUUACCCGCAGAAGAAGCACCGGCUAACUCCGUGCCAGCCGCCGCGGUAAUUC
rnacentral:rRNA from 1 species